GGUUAAGUUAUGAAGGGCGCACGGUGGAUGCCUUGGCACUAGGAGCCGACGAAGGACGGGACUAACACCGAUAUGCUUUGGGGAGCUGUAAGUGAGCUUUGAUCCAGAGAUUUCCGAAUGGGGGAACCCAUUGUUCGUAAUGGAACAAUAUCCUUACUUGAAUACAUAGAGUAUGGAAGGCAGACCCAGGGAACUGAAACAUCUAAGUACCUGGAGGAAGAGAAAGCAAUUGCGAUUCCCUGAGUAGCGGCGAGCGAAACGGGAUAUAGCCCAAACCAAGAGGCUUGCCUCUUGGGGUUGUAGGACACUCUAUACGGAGUUACAAAGGAAUGAAGUAGACGAAGAAGUCUGGAAAGGCUCGUCAAAGAAGGUAACAACCCUGUAGUUGAAACUUCAUUCCCUCUUGAGUGGAUCCUGAGUACGGCGGGACACGUGAAAUCCCGUCGGAAGCUGGGAGGACCAUCUCCCAAGGCUAAAUACUCCCUAGUGACCGAUAGUGAACCAGUACCGUGAGGGAAAGGUGAAAAGCACCCCGGAAGGGGAGUGAAAUAGAACCUGAAACCGUGUGCCUACAAGUAGUCAGAGCCCUAUGCCUAUUUUCCUCUGGAAAACAGGCAGGGUGAUGGCGUGCCUUUUGUAGAAUGAACCGGCGAGUUACGAUCCCAUGCAAGGUUAAGUUGAUAAGACGGAGCCGCAGCGAAAGCGAGUCUGAAUAGGGCGAUAUAGUAUGUGGUCGUAGACCCGAAACCAGGUGAUCUACCCAUGUCCAGGAUGAAGUUCAGGUAACACUGAAUGGAGGUCCGAACCCACGCACGUUGAAAAGUGCGGGGAUGAGGUGUGGGUAGCGGAGAAAUUCCAAUCGAACUUGGAGAUAGCUGGUUCUCUCCGAAAUAGCUUUAGGGCUAGCCUCAUGUGUAAGAGUCUUGGAGGUAGAGCACUGUUUGGACUAGGGGCCCUCAUCGGGUUACCGAAUUCAGACAAACUCCGAAUGCCAAAGACUUAUCCAUGGGAGUCAGACUGCGAGUGAUAAGAUCCGUAGUCGAGAGGGAAACAGCCCAGACCACCAGCUAAGGUCCCAAAGUAUACGUUAAGUGGAAAAGGAUGUGGAGUUGCUUAGACAACCAGGAUGUUGGCUUAGAAGCAGCCACCAUUUAAAGAGUGCGUAAUAGCUCACUGGUCGAGUGACUCUGCGCCGAAAAUGUACCGGGGCUAAACGUAUCACCGAAGCUGUGGAUUGACACCUUUAGGUGUCAGUGGUAGGAGAGCGUUCUAAGGACUGCGAAGCUAGACCGUAAGGACUGGUGGAGUGCUUAGAAGUGAGAAUGCCGGUAUGAGUAGCGAAAGAUGGGUGAGAAUCCCAUCCACCGAAUGCCUAAGGUUUCCUGAGGAAGGCUCGUCCGCUCAGGGUUAGUCGGGACCUAAGUCGAGGCCGAUAGGCGUAGACGAUGGACAACAGGUUGAUAUUCCUGUACCACCUCUUUUCCGUUUGAGCAAUGGGGGGACGCAGGAGGAUAGGGUAAGCGCACUGCUGGAUAUGUGCGUCUAAGCAGUUAGGCUGAUGAUGAGGCAAAUCCCGUCAUCGC
rnacentral:rRNA from 1 species